GGAAGAUCAUCUGCUUGCAGCCUACACUUGACCUCGAGUCACUGAAACCAUAGAAAGCUAAACUGCAGAUGAAGAAGCCUGGAGAAGAGAAAGAAUCAAGUGGGAACAACAUAGCUAGGACGGUAAACCCUUAACAGCAAAACUGCCAGUUAUACCAUCUGCAAAAAUGAGUUAAUUGGGAAAGACCAAAGAAUUGCCACAUGGGACAAAUAAGCUAAUGCAAAAACCAGAGAACAAAGGUGAGGAAGGCACCUUUAAAGAGCAAAGGGGGGAAAUUACUCCAAUGGAAAGUCCGAAGUAUAGUGGUUUUUCGCUGGCUGAGUUGUGAUAGUCUCUUACUGGUGGGGCUAUUGCUGGGAAAGAAAACUUCCUCCUGCUGGGAUAGUAAAGUAGUAGCUGAAAUAUUCUCAAGGGGCAAGGUGUUGUCUCUGUAGGUCUGCAAUUGACCACAACUGGUCGUGGUCGGGCAUGAGCGCUCCCCCUGCUGGCCUCUCGACUGCAUUUUAAUAAGGUUUCCUUUGUUAAUGAGGUUUCCUUUUGUUAAUGUUCAGGGAACUACCGUCAAAAUCCAACUAGAGAACUCCUGCAAAGAGGAGCCUUGUUGCUGCCACCACGAAUUUCUCAAUCCCACAUCUCACUCUCCCACAUUGUAGGCACUGGAUGCUGUAUGACACCACUUUCCACUGGCACAUCCAAGGGGUUUCCUGCUCUCUCUGCCUGGCAUCAUUUGCUUAUGAUUUAAGGUCCAAAGUGAGAGGUCUGAUUACUGAGUGGUCUGAUUGCCUGAGUAGCCCAGAUAACAAUAUGUUACACUCACAAAAUAAAAGAAGACUCAGAUACUGCAUAGAAAGCUUUAAAGUCUGCAAUUAUGUAACCUGGAUAUUUUCCAGUCAUUUUUGCUACCAUUAAUACAAUUCGUAUGAUGUCCCAACUCAAAAGAAGAUAACAGCAAAACUGAGAAAUGCAGAGAAAGAGAGCUGGAAUCUUGAUGACACAUGACCCUAAAUGAAACUGCUCCUCUGAUACUGGUAUGCCUUUGGGUUUUCUAUUAGGUGAGCCAAAA
rnacentral:lncRNA from 1 species